UGGUUGAAAACUAGGCUUGGUGUGCGAGCAACUGUCAUGGCCGCCACAGGUACUAAUUAUAUCAGUAUGUGGAUGAAAUCUUUAAUAUGUGUUCCUCAAAUAAAAGUUGAAGAAAUUGAAUUGGGCAGAUAGUAAUGCGAUGAUUACAAAAAAACAUACAGCAGAAAGGGUACAGCAAUUGGAUCGAGGGUUAUUUUCAUGAAGUAGAAGGUCAAAAAAGUCCCCUGGGUCGACAUUGUCUAUACCUUUGUGCCGUGUGCAAGGAAUCACACGCUCCUGUUGGCAGAUAGCAAGGAUCCUUGAGGAGGUCCAGAAGCAUUUAAACUAGAAAACAGAAGGGAGACCACAUCAAAACAAGGGCAACAACUCAGGUUAUAUAUCUAUCCCAAAAGAAGACUAUUUUCUUGGAUCCACUGGUAGAGUCCAAAGAAAAAGUGAGGAAGUGCCUUGAGACAACAAGAUUGCGUGCAAUGGCUGCAACAGGUUGGUUCCACCACACGUGUUGGACAGCAAUCAACUAAGGUCAGCUUUUUUGUGCUGCAUGCACAAUGUGAGGCCACACAAAUGCCUCAUUUCCACUGCCGGCGCAACUGGGCCAGCCGCGCUAGAGCCGUGCCCCCGCCAAUAAAAUUGUAUUAGUUCAAUGAUUCUUCUUUCAACGCCUACUAAAUAGUGGGACAAAAUACAUGCUUGGGUUUCUAGAUUUUUAUGGAAAGGGGGAAAGUUGUUGGUUUUUGUUGCAGUCCUUUCUGUUAUGUUGUACUGUUUGCUCCUCCAAUAAAAAACAUUUGAUCACAAAACAAGUUGUUGAGUAUGCAGGUGAGAAAGAGACACACUAACAGUAUAAGUUUGGAAGUUUUUGGAAAGGUCCUGCUUGAUUUAGAGGGGACACCAAAUAUUCCAGUGACAGGAGAAAAUGAUGCCCCUUGUUUGAGUGCAAAUGCACACCAGAGUGACACAAAACAAUUUAGUAUGCAGGUGAGAGAGAGACACACUAACAGUGUAAGUUUUGUAUUUACAGAGGGGACACCAAAUAUUUCAAAUAAUAGUUUGAUUUACAGAGGGGACACCAAAUAUUCCAGUGACUGUAAAAAAUGGUGCCCCUUGUUUAUUGAGUGCAUAUGCAUUCAGAUAAAAAAUAAUUAUAAUCUCCUUUCAAGUUCAACGUUUCUGGUAUUGGUUUAUCUGUGUGUGACAGUUGUGAAAAGCUGUCAGGAAUGAAAUUACUUUACAAAUAAAUAAGUAAAUAAACAUUUAGCAGAUUGUACUGCAUUUAACUGAAUUAUAAAAUAACUGGA